GUCGAGCGGCAGGCAGUCCUUCGGGGCUGCCGAGAGCGGCGAACGGCGGAGUAACACGUGGGUAACCUGCCCCGAAGACCGGGACAACCCUGGGAAACUGGGGCUAAUACCGGAUGUGGAUACGCUGGCUUCGGCUGGCGUAUCUAAAGGGAGCAAUCCGCUUCGGGAUGGGCCCGCGGCCUAUCAGGUAGUUGGUGAGGUAACGGCUCACCAAGCCUGCGACGGGUAGCCGGUCUGAGAGGAUGGCCGGCCCGAGGGGCACUGAGACACGGGCCCCACUCCUACGGGAGGCAGCAGUCGGGAAUCUUGGGCAAUGGGCGAAAGCCUGACCCAGCGACGCCGCGUGGAGGACGAAGCCCUUCGGGGUGUAAACUCCUUU
rnacentral:rRNA from 1 species